GAAGCACAAAGAAGUUAAGUACUUGCCCAAGUUCACACCAAGAUUUGAACCCAGGUAGUCUUACUUCAGAGACUACGUUUUUAUCCGUGGCCAUUGCCAACCUCAUGCUCAUUCAUUUGUAACUACUCUUGCUGCUAUGUGGAGAACAGAUGGGAGGUGGACACUCAGGGAAACAGGUAAUUUGCCUUGCUACCAGUGUUUCUCUACCAUAAAAAUAUUA
rnacentral:lncRNA from 1 species